AUCACCUGGAGAUCUUGUUAAAAAUACCCAUUCUGGUUCAGUAGGUCUGGAAUGGGAUCCGAGAUUCUGCAUUUCCAACAAGCUCCCAGGUGAUG
rnacentral:miRNA from 1 species